rnacentral:tRNA from 1 species
GCCCGGGUGGUGAAAUAGGUAGACACAACGGACUUAAAAUCCGUCGAGGCUAAUCCCCUCGUACCGGUUCGAUUCCGGUCCCGGGCACCA